AGAGUUUACUUAUUUAAAUCACUGUAAUUGUGUCGGUUGUUUACUAUAGCAGGUGGACUCUAACUGAUAUAGGUGGUGACAUCCAAAACUGGAAAAUACAGAGAACCCGAGAUCAUGCUUAUAAUCAGCACAAUGGAUUGUCUUCCCCUUUCAGACUCAGCUGAUCUCUGUGUUGCAGCACUUUUGAUCAUCCACUCAGCCUCCUAACCUCUCCCACAAAGGAA
rnacentral:lncRNA from 1 species